AGAUCUAGGAUUUUAGGAUUAGAUCUUGAAACUUUUUCAAGAUAAGGCAGCGAAAGACUAAAAUAAAUCAAAAUUUAUUUUUCAAAACUAAAAAAUUUUUAGAUCUAAGAUCCUAUUAUAUGAUUAUUACAUAGCAUUAAAUCAGAAAUUAAAAUAUAUAGAGCAUGAUCUACAUGUUGAUCAUAUCAACAUGUUUCUAUACUACAUCUAAUGUAUGUAUUAAACAAUAGAUCAGAUCUAUUACCUUGCAAGUUAGAUGUUCUAACCUUGCUGAUCUAGGC
rnacentral:lncRNA from 1 species